rnacentral:rRNA from 1 species
AUUGAACGCUGGCGGCAUGCUUUACACACGCAAGUCGAACGGUAACAGGGUGCUUGCACCGCUGACGAGUGGCGAACGGGUGAGUAAUGCGUCGGAACGUGCCGAGUAGUGGGGGAUAACGCAGCGAAAGUUGUGCUAAUACCGCAUACGUACUGAGGUAGAAAGUGGGGGACCUUCGGGCCUCACGCUAUUCGAGCGGCCGACGUCUGAUUAGCUAGUAGGUGAGGUAAAGGCUCACCUAGGCGACGAUCAGUAGCGGGUCUGAGAGGAUGGACCGCCACACUGGGACUGAGACACGGCCCAGACUCCUACGGGAGGCAGCAGUGGGGAAUUUUGGACAAUGGGCGAAAGCCUGAUCCAGCCAUGCCGCGUGUCUGAAGAAGGCCUUCGGGUUGUAAAGGACUUUUGUCAGGGAGGAAAUCCCUAGUGCUAAUAACACUGGGGGAUGACAGUACCUGAAGAAUAAGCACCGGCUAACUACGUGCCAGCCGCCGCAGUAA